GCCCCCGUCAUCUGGGGAGUAGCCAGCCGUCCUUCGGGACGGGCCGCCGCGUCAACAUACUUGGCCGAGAGGUCAUGGUGCGGUGGAAGCGGGAUACCGCUUGGGCGAGACCAAUGGCAUCGACCUCCGUCCGGGCUGGGCGGCGGGUUUGAUGUCCGUUGGAAUCGCAAGCCGCCCGGCC
rnacentral:sRNA from 2 species